rnacentral:rRNA from 1 species
GACGUAGGGCGCGAGCGUUGUCCGGAUUUAUUGGGCGUAAAGAGCUCGUAGGCGGCUUGUCGCGUCGACCGUGAAAACUCGCAGCUCAACUGCGAGCCUGCGGUCGAUACGGGCAGGCUAGAGUUCGGUAGGGGAGACUGGAAUUCCUGGUGUAGCGGUGAAAUGCGCAGAUAUCAGGAGGAACACCGGUGGCGAAGGCGGGUCUCUGGGCAGUAACUGACACUGAGAGACGAAAGCUAGGGGAGCGAAUGGG